GCUGGGCAAGGUGGCGCACACCUGUAAUCCCAGCAGCUCAGGAGGCUGAGACAGGAGGUUUGGGAGUUCAAAGCCAGCCUCAACAAAAGCGAGAUGCUAAGCAACUCAGUGAGACCCUGUCUCUA
rnacentral:sRNA from 1 species